GACGAACGCUGGCGGCGUGCUUAACACAUGCAAGUCGAACGGAAAGGCCCUGCUUUUGUGGGGUGCUCGAGUGGCGAACGGGUGAGUAACACGUGAGUAACCUGCCCUUGACUUUGGGAUAACUUCAGGAAACUGGGGCUAAUACCGGAUAGGAGCUCCUGCUGCAUGGUGGGGGUUGGAAAGUUUCGGCGGUUGGGGAUGGACUCGCGGCUUAUCAGCUUGUUGGUGGGGUAGUGGCUUACCAAGGCUUUGACGGGUAGCCGGCCUGGGAGGGUGACCGGCCACAUUGGGACUGAGAUACGGCCCAGACUCCUACGGGAGGCAGCAGUGGGGAAUAUUGCACAAUGGGCGGAAGCCUGAUGCAGCAACGCCGCGUGCGGGAUGACGGCCUUCGGGUUGUAAACCGCUUUCGCCUGUGACGAAGCGUGAGAGACGGUAAUGGGUAAAGAAGCACCGGCUAACUACGUG
rnacentral:rRNA from 1 species